GACGAACGCUGGCGGCGCGCCUAACACAUGCAAGUCGAACGAGCGAGAGAGAGCUUGCUUUCUCGAGCGAGUGGCGAACGGGUGAGUAACGCGUGAGGAACCUGCCUCAAAGAGGGGGACAACAGUUGGAAACGACUGCUAAUACCGCAUAAGCCCACGGCUCGGCAUCGAGCAGAGGGAAAAGGAGUGAUCCGCUUUGAGAUGGCCUCGCGUCCGAUUAGCUAGUUGGUGAGGUAACGGCCCACCAAGGCAACGAUCGGUAGCCGGACUGAGAGGUUGAACGGCCACAUUGGGACUGAGACACGGCCCAGACUCCUACGGGAGGCAGCAGUGGGGAAUAUUGCACAAUGGGGGAAACCCUGAUGCAGCGACGCCGCGUGGAGGAAGAAGGUCUUCGGAUUGUAAACUCCUGUUGUUGAGGAAGAUAAUGACGGUACUCAACAAGGAAGUGACGGCUAACUACGUG
rnacentral:rRNA from 1 species